UUAUGAACACGCCACGAGUGUCGUGCGCAGUUUGGCACUCAGCGUGAUGAAUAAAGAGUGGUAGAGCCACAGAGACACGCCUUCGUGUGCGCGUCAUCACUUAGCUCGUGUGUUUAGCCUCCAGCGGCUUGUUUUUGAAAUCCUUUAACAUCGAUCGGCCGCUGUCAAAGUCAACAAAAGUGUCUUUGAAGCGUGAAUUGUUUGGAAGCGUUUCAACAAGGAAGUGGGAGCGAGCGGAGUCAACGGAGAGACGCUGACGCACAGACCACGACUACGUUUCAUUCAUGCAUGAUUGUGUCCUGUCAAUCAAUGGAUAUGGGGGAUGAAUCCGCCACACUUUCACACACACAGUUUGUGUCUUUCCUUCCUUCUGUGGCAACAUGUAGUUAGUUGUCCUGGUAACUGUCAGCUGUGCUGCAGUUCCAACUAAUCACGGUGGGAGACUGCCACAUAAAGGCGGGCGUAAAGCCCCUGUCAGGCUUCUGCUUGCUGGAGGCUGGGUCGCGUCACUCCUGUGCUUCCUCCAUGUCCGCGUCCGUGUGGUGACAGGUUCGCUUGGGUGUUGCUGCUGGCUGCGCGCUGUUCACCGCUCCGUGUGCCACUCACUGUCUGCCGCUGGUCGCUCUCGGGGAGCGUUGAUCCCUCUGUUCCACGCUGUGUUGGCCGGGAUUGCCUGACCGGGUGACUGACUGUAGCGGCGCAGCGCCGGCUAAUCCGCCCGUAGAACCGCUGCUGCUUUGCUUCUGCUCUGUUUCUUGCCUUCUUUGCCUCAUUUAAAGAAAUCAUUUGGACUGAUCGCUGUGCCUCACUGGAACUGUGUGUUUGCGGGACUAAUGUUUCGCUUGACUUUGAUUAGUCUAACGUUGGACACUCACCGCUCCACCAGGGCCGACUCGGGUUCUGAUCGCCUUGUCCGCUUAUUCGGCUGCCGAUAGUGUCCGUGCCUGUGUGUGUGACACUGUGUGUGUGUGUCUGUGUGUGGGUGUCUGUGUGUGUGUGUGUCUGUGUACCAGGUAUUACUAAUGUUGUGGGGACCAAAACCUGUUUACACAGUCACAUUAUGGGGACUUGCCCUCCUUGUGGGGACAAAAAGCAAGUCCCCAUAACGUAAAUUACUACAUUUUAAGGUGAAGAUAUGUUUCAUGGUUAGGUUGAGGUUAGGGUUAGGGUUAGGGUUAGGAUUAGGAUUAGGAUUAGGCCAGUAGUAAUUGUGGUUAAGGUUAGAGUAAGUCUCCAAGAAAUGAAUGUAAGUCAAUGCAAUGUCCCCUCAAGUCAUGAAUGUCGAACGUGUGUGUGUGUGUGUGUGUGUGUGUGUGUGUAUACUUGCAUGAGAGGACAGUGCGGGAAUACACAUUUGAUUUUGUUCCUUUGUGGUACCCAUAAAUAACCCAUAAAUACGAUUAUUCUGUUAGUUUUGUGUUUAUUUUUGGGUUAUUAUGGGCUGCAUUUCAAUUGUGGUUAUAUAGAAUUUUGCUUAUUUGCCAUUGUGUUUAAUCAUUAUAGAUCCUGUACAUUUCAUUCUUUAAUUUCUCUUGUUAUUAGUUAUUGUUUUGUUUCAUUAUUAGUUUUUUUUCUAAUUGGUUGCUCUCUGGUCGCCUCCCUUUCAGGUGCUGAGCCUACGGUGGUGGAUUGGUGUCCUGGUCACGGUGUCCCCUUUGUAUUGUGUUUGCACUUGGUAGCUUCUUUGUUUUGUUUACUUUUAUUUGCUUCACGUGUGGUGUUCCUGGGAUCCCCUUUCCCUUUGGAUACAGUUUUUCACGGUAGGUCUCAGCACUGAUUGGCUCCCCUUACGUCCCCUUAAGUGAGUAAUUUUUACAUUAUUUUUAAAACAGAAAUUUAUGUAAUUGUUGCCAGACAACGCCACCUUGGGAAUUUGACCCAGGGAUUUCUUAUAAGUGGACUAACCCAAAUGAAGGAAGGCACUGAGGUCUGUUAUGCAACGAGACGGACGACAGUUCGAUAAUACAAAAUACUUUUAUUUAUACAAAUUUCUGUUUUAAAAAUAAUGUAAAAAAUUACUCACUUAAGGGGAGCCAAUCAGUAAAAAAGUAAAAAACAAAGAAGCUACCAAGUGCAAACACAAUACAAAGGAGACACUGUGACCAGGACUUUGCCCCUGGAGAUGUUCGUCGUAGAUGAUUCUGCACCUCGCAACUCGUGGAUCACUGGGAGAGUUGUGCAAGCAGUUCCAGAUCAGAGAGGACUUGUGUGCCAGAUUUGUAUCAAAACAAGGACUGGGUUUUUGGAUAGACCCAUCACGAAGGUUUGUCUUCUUCAAGAGGCAGAAGAGCCAUGAAGACUUGCAGAUUUUGAAAGAACUGACAUACGUGGACUUUGACUAUUUUGUAGGUUGGAUUGAUUAUUUAGACUAUACAGUAGAUUUCCUGGUUGUUAGAAAUAUGAGAUGUUUUUCUUUUCUGACAUUUAGCAUUUUGUCUCCCACAUAUUAGCAGUUAUGUAAUUAUUGCUUCAGCAUAAUUAGGGGCUGGAAUGUAGGAGUCAUACAUUUUGUUUUGCUUUUGAAUAAAGUAAGACCUAAGUGUUGAGUUAAUGCUGGAAUUGGUGCACAUGGGUGAUGGAUGUGUCACUACCGCGAGUAUGUAGGAAUAAAUCACUGCUGUCCCCAGUUCACUGGUUGCUGGUUGUCAGUCAUGACGUAGGGUGAGCACGGUGGAGCGGUGAAAUCUUUUGUUGUCCGCAUCAAUGCAUGUUUUGUUUGCUGUGUGUAUUAUUUCUCUCUUUGCUAACAAGCCACGAGUGUCGUGCAGAGUUUGGCGUGAUGAAUAAAGAGUGGUAGAGCCACAGAGACAUGC